rnacentral:rRNA from 1 species
GACGAACGCUGGCGGCGCGCUUAACACAUGCAAGUCGAGCGAAGCGGCGGACGGGUGAGUAACACGUGAGUAACCUGCCUUAGACAUUGGGAUAGCCUCGGGAAACCGGGAUUAAUACCAAAUGGUCUAAGAUGGACUCGCGUCCCAUUAGCUCGUUGGUGAGGUAACGGCCCAACAAGGCGACGAGGGGUAGCCGGCCUGAGAGGGGGAACGUCCACAUUGUACCUGAGAAACGUUCCAAACUCUACGGGAGGCAGCAGUGUGGAAUAUUGCACAAUGGAGUGAACUCUUAUGCAGCGACGCCGCGUGAACGAAGAAGGCUUUCGAGUCGUAAAGUUCUUUUAUAUGGGAAGCGGUACCAUAAGAAAAAGCCCCGGCUAACUACGUGCCAGCCGCCGCGGUAAUUC